UACAGAGGUCUCAAGCGUUGUUCGGAUUCAUUGGGCGUAAAGGGUGCGUAGGUGGCGGGGUAAGUCAGGUGUGAAAUCUCGGAGCUCAACUCCGAAACUGCACUUGAUACUGCCUUGCUCGAGUACUGGAGAGGAGAUUGGAAUUUACGGUGUAGCAGUGAAAUGCGUAGAUAUCGUAAGGAAGACCAGUGGCGAAGGCGAAUCUCUGGACAGUUACUGACACUGAGGCACGAAGGUCAGGGGAGCAAACGGG
rnacentral:rRNA from 1 species